UAGCUAUCUGUGCCACAGAUAGAAAGACAGAAAGAUAGAAAGAUAGCCAGUGUAUAGUUACUUAAAAUUCAGUCAAAGGUUCCAGGUCCCCAGCCUGUAGAGGAGAAGACUCAACAAACACACAGUGGAGGUAAUGCAAUGGCCAGAAUUUCUCUAUCCAGUGAUAAAUACUUCUUACCUGUUUGCCACAUGCACUUCUCCCUCACAGGAUUGCACCUAAACAAAAUAACACAACAGAUUACCAUUAAACACUUUUCUCCUGCAAUAUUAUUGUGGUUUCAAUUUACACAUUGACCCGGGCCGCAAGGCUCUCCCACGCCGUUUCCCUCUCAUUUGCAGCUGCAGCGGUGUUGCACUUCUUUCUAAAAACGUGUUCAAACUCGCUACAUAAGCGCAUUAAGAUUUCCAAUUCAAACGGUGUCGUCCUCUGCUUACCCGUUGCCAUGGUGACUCGUCAAAUCGGCACUCCAUUGAUACUGGCUUUUCAGAGCUGUGGUGCACGUGCUUAACUCCAGGGGAAACUACUCAGACUUGAUUUAACCAAAAACAGUUUGUUGAACCCGCUUCGUGAAACGGAAGCCCCAGCAGACAAACUAAACCACAACACUAAAACAAACUACACUACCAAACCUACAAAAACCACAAAACUAAACAGGAAUAACCUCAACCAAACAACACAGCAAUGUACUUACAACAACCAUGGGAAAACAGAGCUAAAGGCUAGGCAGGCUAGGAGAACCCAGAAGCUAGUGGAAAAACAAAAUUGGCAGACUGAAGACCAGGGAGCAUCCAAAAACAGACAGGAGUUGAACAGAGUCCACAAGAGAGAAAUCCAGGACAGCAAAAUCGGUCGAGUCCAAGAGGCUGAAGCUGACAAGCAGUAGAAGGCUUGGUGGGGAAACCCACAAUCCAGGAAUGCAGCAGAAGCCAUGGAGAGAUGUGAGCCGAUGAUCCGGCGAGGAGUGAAUGGAAGCACAGAGCUUAAAUACUGGAGGUGAGGUAGAGAACAGUCAAUGGAGUGAACUAAUUACUGCAGGUGACACUC
ensembl:lncRNA